GAACCUGGGCUCGAGGUGAGGGGUGCUCUCUGUGCGUGAGGGACAUGGCAAUCGAAUUGUCUCACACAGAAAUCGCACCCUCUCCUCGGCCUGCUCA
rnacentral:pre_miRNA from 14 species